rnacentral:lncRNA from 1 species
AGGACAUCUUUGCCACUUGUUCAAUGAUUAGUAAUUAACCCAUGCUUAGCAAUGCUUAGGUGCUUAAAGUAACUUGGUUACUGAACCUUAAGAUAAUUUGUUGGGUCAUACAUGAUGGAUAUGGAAAGAUAGCUUGGAAGUUUUGAAAAGCGGACAGAAGCUAGAGAUGUAGUUCUGUCUGCUAGAUUAAUUUGGUUAAGGCCCGAUCGUUGUCUUAACCUUUGAUCAAGUGAAUGUCACCUGGUUGCUUACUGGGUAUGGGACCAGUAAAGCCCGAUAGGUUAGUAGACUCUCCGAUCGGGAAUAUUUCGUACCCGUGCUUGACGUGCUGGAGAUUGGCAAGGGCGUAGCCUGAAACUCACAUGGAGAUCAGGCCAGACGUGGGGUCCUAUGUGGGGGUGUGUCCCUGGGUUCGGGUAGUCUUAUUCCCAAUCUUUGGGUAUACUAAUCGAAAGGUCGUUAUGUACGACCCGAAGAGUUGUACAUAACUGGUGAUCAGGGUGCUCUCCUGCAGGAUGUAAUUUGAUCCGGAUCGCCGCAAUUCUCGGUUAUGAAUGCACUUGAUCACUGUUGAGCAUCGUAGUGUAAUCUCAUGAAUGCAAUGUCUUUCCAAAUUAAUUUGUUGUAUGACUUAAUUUCCUACUGUUUGCAAAGGUAUUUCUUUUUCAUCAUCUAGACUGGUUAGGUAAUAACUC